rnacentral:rRNA from 1 species
GCUUGUCUCAAAGAUUAAGCCAUGCAUGUCUUAGUGUAAAUAACUCUUAUGAAACUGCGAAUGGCUCAUUAAAUCAGUUAUCAAAUACGUGAUGGUCGCCUACUACAUGGAUAACCGUAGUAAUUCUAGAGCUAAUACAUGCACAAAGGCCCAUUCACGUGGGUUGUGAUUAUUAGAUUCAAACCGGCCUCGUUCUGGUGAUUCAUAAUAACUUAACGAAUCGCAUGGCCUUGCGCCGGCGAUGGUUCAUUCAAAUUUCUGCCCUAUCAACUUUCGAUGGUAGGAUAGUGGCCUACCAUGGUAUCAACGGGUAACGGGGAAUUAGGGUUCGACUCCGGAGAGGGAGCCUGAGAAACGGCUACCACAUCCAAGGAAGGCAGCAGG